AUACGUAGGGGGCGAGCGUUGUCCGGAAUGAUUGGGCGUAAAGGGCGCGUAGGCGGCGCGGUAAGUCUGGAGUGAAAGUCCUGCUUUCAAGGUGGGAAUUGCUUUGGAUACUGCCGCGCUUGAGUGCAGGAGAGGUUAUCGGAAUUCCCGGUGUAGCGGUGAAAUGCGUAGAGAUCGGGAGGAACACCAGUGGCGAAGGCGGGUAACUGGACUGCAACUGACGCUGAUGCGCGAUAGUGUGGGGAGCAAACAGGAUUAGAUACCCUGGUAGUCCACACUGUAAACGAUGAAUGCUAGGUGUAAGAGGUAUCGACCCCUUUUGUGCCGGAGUCAACACAAUAAGCAUUCCGCCUGGGGAGUACGGCCGCAAGGUUGAAACUCAAAUGAAUUGACGGGG
rnacentral:rRNA from 1 species